rnacentral:rRNA from 1 species
UACAGAGGGGGCAAGCGUUAUUCGGAAUUACUGGGCUUAAAGAGUUCGUAGGCGGCAUUGCAAGUAGGGUGUGAAAGCCCUCGGCUCAACCGAGGAAUUGCGCUCUAAACUGCAGUGCUUGAGGAACCUAGAGGUGAGCAGAACAGAUGGUGGAGCGGUGAAAUGCGUUGAUAUCAUCUGGAAUACCGGAGGCGAAGGCGGCUCACUGGGAGUUUUCUGACGCUGAGGAACGAAAGCCAGGGUAGCGAACGGG